GCCCCACAUUGGGUGUGGAGCCUACUUAAAAAAUAUAAAAUUGAUUAUGAUUGUACAACUUGGUGAAUAUACUAAAAAUCAUUUAACUCUGUAUUCUAGAGAGAGGUAAAUUGUAUGGUUAUAUGAAUUUUAUCUCAAUAAAGCUAUUAUUUAUAAAAGAUCAUUAUAACAUGUUUAACUUAUAUAAAUAUGUUCAUUCCUUAUUUUAAGUUCUUAAAAUGUCCCAGAAACCAGCUCACAAUUCCCCAAUGCUUUGGGCUGCUCUGAAAAAAAAAAAAUGGUUCCAGACAUAUAGACUGUUUUUAGUCUUAAACAAAAGUACUUCUCUGGAUGAAUAAUUAAACUCAGAAGGUGAUAAAUCUUCUCCCUUCUCAGCCUUUUUGUUAAAAUGGGGACUAGGCUCAGGACUUGGCCACUACAAGUGGCCAAAUAAGUGGUCACUGAAUUUUAGAGCAAGAAUGGGGUCUAGUGACCAGCUAAGAAGCAUCCCAUGAACAAAUUUUUAUCUUGCUAUGGAUUCUACCAAAGCAAAUAAGGGCUUGGAUUCUGUUAGUUUACUCAAGUGGUAAUUGCAGGAAGAACUAAUGAGUGGAGAAAGACACAAAAGGAAGAAAAACCAAUAAAAGAUAUGAUGAAACAUGGGUUGCCUUAAGUGGGCAAUUGGGGCUCAAUCCCACUGGGGACACUCUGUGAAGAUAUGUACAAUUUGUCUCAAAAUUGCCCCAGAGGAGUAUAGGGAGACUGAGGCAUGUAACCACCAGCUCACACGUCUUCUUAGUUGGGGACUGGUGUCGAAGAGUUAACUCUCCCUCACGUCUGGGCUGUGUCUGCCUGCCAUAGAAGAAGCUUCUGCUGAAGAAAUCCUUCAGGCUUAAAAAAAAGAGCAAGGCAGAUGCUUGAGGGGAAAGCCAUCAGCUUUCUGGAACUUUCUACAGCUUUGAGUGAGAUUAGGUGGGCUGUGGAGUUGAGAGGUGGACAAACAUCAACUACAGUCUCUUGUGACAAAGGACACAUAAGAGGGAUGGGAUUUCCACCACUGCUCUGGCUCAAAAGGGAAUUUCCAAUUCACCUUUCCUGCCCCAUCUUGAUUAGGAGGUGGAUUUCCCUUCAGUUUCAUCACCCCCAAGUGACAAAGUCCUUUUCUGAUCUGUGGGACUGAUGAGCAUCUAGGACCUCCACCAGUAGCUUGUCUAUAGGAGAUGGGUCCAUGCAGAACAGUGGAGGGUUCUAGGCAGAGUCCACAGGCAGCAACAAACCUCACUUACAUCCAGGGACUCCACUGUCUAGAGAUUGGUCCAUAAUGAGAGAAAAGGGACAUUUAGGUGUAGAGUCAGUGUCCUCAUAGCUUCUUGGCACAUGAAAGGUGCCUACCUCCUUACCACGGUUCUCAGCUUCUCCUUUUCACCUUAGUGAGUCUUGGCUACUGAGAGAACUCAUUCUGCUGACAUCAGUCCAAACCUCUCUGUACUAUAGCCCCCAAUGAUUCGUGGUAAAACAUUAAUUUUGGAAAUUAAUAAUGUAAAUUCCACAUCUCAAGGUUAGAAGAAGUCAAUGUAAAGAAAGCCAAACAAGGUUCCUUACCACAGGAUUUCCAAGAUCCUUCAGUAUGCCUGUAAGCCUUGACGACCCUCAAGGAGAAGUUUCAAGUUCACAGUAUUUCUUAAAACUAUUCUCCCAGAAAAGAUUUUCCCAUAGAUUUUCAUUGAACUAGUGUUCUACAGAAUACACUUGGGGCAACACUGGUAUAGCCCAAUCCAUUUGUUUCACUGAUGAGGAAACUGGAGUCCACAGAAGCAAGGUGACUUGCACAAGUCAUGCUAUAAGUUGCCGAUGGAGCCAGAACUUAAACCCACAAUUUCCAUCUUUCAUAUCUCCAUGCCCUCUGCUCAGUGACAGUACAAUGGUCAUGGUUUCACCUGUGAUGGAAAGCUCCUGAGUUGUCCUUUCCCUGUCCUUUGUGUCUUCGAGGAGUGUCAUCCUCCAUCACUAUCUGAACCAGAGAAAUGAAACAUUUGUGUCAUUCCUAUGGUCAACAACUGUCAACUAGGAGAAGCUAAAUGUGACAAGCUCUCACUAAGGAUAUAUAAAUGAGGUUUCUAAGCAGCAAAGAUACUUUCUCCACUCUCUCUUGCCCCCUCUACUAGAUGAAUGCUAAGAACACUGGGACCCUAGGGAGUGGCAAAGCCAUACAAUGGAAAGAAGUCUGCUUUCUUGAACCUGCAUGCAGAGGGAAGCCACUGGCUUACCUGCAAAGAGUCCCACAUGAGCAAGAAAGAAACUUCUAUCAGGAUAAACCACUCCAGCGGAAUGAGCUAUUUUUCACUUCAACUCUCUCCGUCUUGCCUACUGCCACCACCUGGUCUUGUCACCACAACAUUCCUUAACACCCCAGUAGGGAAAAGGCAAACCAGAGGCAGACAGCCCUGGGCCCGAGAGUCUCAAGUCCACCAUCUGAUGAAGUGGCUUUGGGCAGGUUACCAACGUCUGGGUCAUAAUGGAACAUGCCCUGUGAAUAUCGUCAUGAAGUCCCCAUUUCUAAGGAGUGGAACAUGCUCAAGGAAGAGAGCAACUUUCCCCCAGCCUGACAGAAUGCAACAUAAUUGGUUUAUGCCAAACAUGGCAAUUCCAUUCCCUUUUCCCUAUGAUUGACUUGGGAGCUGGCAUGUGACCCAAUUCUGACCAGUGAGACUAAAGAGACAAUCUGUUGAUGAUGUCUUCUCCCAAGAUUUAUGUUUUCUGCUACAAAGAGUAACAGCCAGUUCCCUCCUGCCUGACUUGAAUGUAAUUGCAUGGGAACAUGAUACUUGGAGCUACAGCAGCCAUUCUGUGAUCAUGAGGCAACAAGCCAAAGGGCACAGGAUAAAACAGUGAAAAGACAGAAUGAUAUCAUUAGAUUAGAUGAUAUCAUUAAACUGCUGAACCAAUCUGGAACCAAUGACUUCUAGACUUUGAUAAUUCGUGAGAUGAUUAAAAAUUUCUAUUGUUUUACCCACAA